UACAAACCAGCGAUUUAAAUUAUUAUUUUUAUUUUCCUUUUUUUUCCUCCUCUCUUCGCUUACACACAAAAUUAGCCCGGAUGAAAUUAUCCUAUCUAUCUUAAAAACCAUAUUUAGCUUACUUUAUUUUUUUCCUUCUCCUUUCUUUCUUUCUUUUUUAUCUUUCCAAAACAACUGCCACUUUUAAUAAAGGUAAUUUUGGAUAUUACAGAAUUAGUUUAAAAAUUCUUGGCCUCUAUUCUAAAAAUCUGGUCUCUAACGGGUUAAAUAUUUUGGCUGACUCUUUUAAUAAUGUAGGAAACCGAAGUUAUGCCACCACCUACACCACAAUAUUCUGGCAAAACGCCUCAAACAGAUUUGGAAGUGCUAGGCAUAUACAAUUUGUACAAAAUAUUCUUACUCUCUAGAGUUAAAGAAAAAUGAUAAUUAAUACGAUAAUUAAUUAAUUUUAUCGUCAGUUGAGAAGACCCAAAGGCUGUCCGAAUUUCGAUGCUUUCGGGACUGAAGUUUGUAGAAAAUCUUUAUCGAGUAUCAGUCGUGGCAAGUUUGUUAAAAUCUUUAAAAUUGUUAAUAAUAAAGAACUGCACGCAGAUUAAAUUUCGAGAUAUUUCUCGUUUAAUUAAAGAAUUUUUACUCGAAAGUUUCUUAAGCGUUUGGUCGGUUGUUCUUUUUAAUCUUCUUUUAUUAAAAAGUUACAAGUGCACUCGUGAUUGAUCGCUGAUGGUAAAUAAAGAAUAAAAGUAAACAAGCACUCGAGAAAGACAAAGGAAUAAAUAAUAGAAGUCGUUAAUUGGUUGUAUAGAUCUUUGCAAUUUUUACCUUUAAAAAUUUUCGAUUUUUCUUUCAAAUUUCGCCGCGAAACUUGUAGAAUUUCGCGAAAUGCGGAUGCCUUUACUGAGAAACUUUGCUGAUACGCAAAACUAAAAAAGUCAUCGAGAAACUCUCGAAGACGUCUGAGGAGAUUUUUAAAUGAAAGUUUGAAUAGUUUGUAAACUUUAAUAAAAUGAUUAAAAAUUAACAAUCAGAUUUUAAAUUAUUUUUCGUUGAUUAAAAUAAUAUAAAAAAAAUGCAUAAAAGAGUGAAAUUGGUGAAUUGUAAACAACUCUUUUGUGCUAUUCAGAUUUUCUAUAGAGCAGUUUCGUUCGGAGGUAUUUUAUUUAAUCGAAUAUUAAAGUUUUCUUUGCAAAAAAAAAUAAUGUAAUUUAGCGCAAAAUAUUCGCAGAGAAUAAAAACCUCUAACCGAGCGCUACACAUCCAGUUAAGGAAGGGUGCACAAACUCCAAUCAGGUUACUAUAUUAGGAAAGUGUAUGGCUCACCACCGGUCCAAGAUAGGUUAUCGGAAUCACGUGGGGGUUCACCAUCGCUCGUGUAGCAUUCGUUCUCCUAAAUUUGGCCUUUGAGUCAACAGAAGACACUGUCCUUCAAACUGACGCCGCAUCAGCCCCAAAAUCAAUUUUCACUCAAAAUCAAUAAACCACCCCCUACUUUGGCUAUUCUUAGCCAUCUCGUUUCCUUGGCAACGCAGAAGAGGAGGAGGAGGAAGAUGUCUCAUCCUCGCGGAAUGUCUGUAAUUACUCGAGGAGAGGGAAUAAGCACAGACUCUUUUAUUUACAUAGCCCGGUCAAUAGACCCCCUUUCCAAUUGAAGAUAACACGUUAAGAAAUAAACGUUUCUACACAGUUAACAUCUGAAUAAUAGUCGAAAGGGUAUCGUUUGUUGUGGUAGAGAGGCGGAAACAAAGGAGCCGUUUUCGAGCCAUAGACACAACACAGUUGCAGUCAAAACAAAAUGGGAUCGAUAAGAAAAGAUUCCGACCUGCAGGCGAACGGUUGCCUAUCCCCUAAACCUUUAAUGAUUGGAUAAACAUUGAUGUUUGUCAACUGAAUUUUUAAGAGUGGAAACGUUUAAGUUGUUUUCCUUCUCUAUUUCCAGUCUCUUACUUGGACGGUGAGAGCUAUAACACAAAUUGUGUAACGCCAUUUUUUUUUCUUGAGCGUGUCAUGCCAGCGACGCAUAAAGUUCAUAGAGUACAAUCGCCCUUGAAUCACAGUUUGCUCUUUUUUUCAAAACUUUUUCAAAAAUCCCUUUGUGUAUCACGUUACUGAUCAAAGAGUACAUCUGUCAUGCGGAGUAAAAAUUGAUACAUUACAGGGCUUUAAUUUUAUUAUGUUGGAUAGCCGACCUUCUUCUGUGUACACAAGUAAUGCAGGUUGCGUGAUAGAGCCACUGACCCCUUAUGGCGUGACAGGGAACUGUGAAGCACUCGUGACAACAUGGAAACGGUCUGUGAUCAUAGGACGGAAACUUUCAGACCGACGUUUUAUAGUAUUUAUUUUUUUAUGGGCUUAUUGACAAUAUCUGUCAUUUCAGCUGUCCCGCUUGGAAUGAGAUUAUGCUCGAUCAAGAUGAAGAUAAACAUGUCCCAUCUGAUAUUUAACUUUAAAAGGCCGGAUACAUGCCAGAUUAUUGUACGCUAUCCGAAAAAUGAUGAAGAAAUACCACGUUUCAAACUCCAAACUCAUACGAUUGGAAGUCAUUGGUGCAAAUCGAAUUGGAACUCUUACUCGAAUUAGAUCUAUGUGUCUGGAACGACAAAAGGUUAUGCUCUAACACGAAUCCAUACAGAUGUUUAUCUUUGGCAAAGAAAUCCGCUGAAGAGGAAUAAACUACUCUAACGAUUACUCUUAAAACUCUUUCUUACAUAAUAGUCUUGCGCCAGUACGUUGCAAAAAUAUUAAGCAUUCUAAAAUAAUUACUCCAAAGUUAAAAAUGCAACAGUAGUUAUGUAAAAGUUUACUUUGAUGCCUUAACUUUGUAAUAACUUUUUUUAUUUUUAAGAAAUCUUUACUGUUGGAGAGGCUGUUGCGGACUCCUUUCUGAAAACUGCAAUUUUUGUAUGGGAAUAUCGCGUGCAAAUAGAUGGAUGAACUUUGACUGAUGUUAGCGUCCUCAAAAAGGUUGAAAAAUCGGUAGACUAUCUUCUCUUCUCUUUCUUUCCACGUCACGAAUGCCUCAACCAAGAAUUCUUUAUAUUGUUAAAUUUUAUACUUUCUUUUAUACAAUUUAUUAAAAAGAUAUAUGGCCCGCUUUACAAUUCGAAACAUUAUAGAGUCUUUUUGAAAGAGAGAGAGAGAGAGAGAAAUUAUUUACUUUUGUAGAAUAGAUAUAAAUAUCUAAAAAAAAAAGUAAAAAACUGCUCUAGAAUGUCGUGAAGGCCCGAAUUCAAGGAGUUUUUCUUCACUGAACCGAGUUAUUUUAUGUCUUGUUUCAAUUUUUCGAUGUUUUUCUGUUUUUCUGAUUGAUCUAAAGAUUUCUCUUAUGAUUUUUUGUUCAGUUUUUUUCCAUAUGAAUAGUUUAGACUUUUGAAUCCAUUAUUCUAACGAUUUAAAAGUUUAAAAAAAUAUAUUUGAAGCACGUAAAAUGUUAACACAUAGGGGGGAAUAUAGAAAAUUAUAGAAAAAAAAUACAAAAAAAAAAAUAUGACUAAAUUUUAGAUUCCCUGCUUUGUUUUGUUACCAAAUUUCUAUAGGAGCAACCUUUCUGAGAAAAUAACGUUUCGGACGUGCAAAAAUCUUUCACAUAUGUUGUCAUAGAAUGAAAAUGAGCCUCGUCAACUACAGAUGACGUCAAUUAUUAGGAGCAGAUGGAAUGAAAAGAGACACUUUACCCAACCAAGACUUAUUAGUGGUGUAGCACAAGGGGAUCGUUAAGAGAGUAGACGACUGGCGCCAAUCCUUUCAUUUCUUCUUUAUCACUCAAAAAUACACGCUAAGAACAGGGAAACUUCUCUCAUUCGAAAUUUGAUUUGUGUUAACCUCUCUUUACUCAAUUCGGGAGUUAAAAAGUUAUAAAAAAACAGCGACCAAAAGAAAAAAGAAAAAGAAGUUGCAGCAACUCGGACGCCUUUUCUUCUCCUCGCAUAACCAGUACUGGAAAGGUUAAAGUUCAAAUAGACCGAUUUCGUGGAUAGAUAAGUAGAAGAAUGCAGAAGGGUUUUCUCCAUUAUUUCUCUACGUCAGCCAUACCUCAUAAUGGCAGGCAGUGAAUGGCUAAUUGUACAAUUACAGUCAAUGUGCGAAACCCUUUAUAAGACUCCACCUGUGGGUGGCAGAUACUUUGCAUCCCCAGUUUUACCACCCCGUUCGGUUCAUUGUUCGAAGUAGAUUAAAGUUUAUUCAACUCGUUGAACUUUAAUGUAAAACAGAUGUCCGGUUUUGUAAUCUUAUUUUAUUGACAAUGCAAAACUUGUAUUGUUGCUAGCUGAUUUAUGUACAAGGUCUUAAGCUCCAAUUUCACUGGCUUCGAAACUUCUCUCAUUCUCUCAAACUGUUUGCAGUUCUUACAUUACGUGCAAUCGAAAUUUUUCGUCGAAGCUUGAUUGAUGCUCGAAAGAUUAAAAAAAAACGAAAAAAAUAUACUGCAUCAUUGUUCUCGGAAUUUACAGUUCAUUAUAUCUCCCGAUUAAUUGAACGUCGUUAAUAUCCAAUUUUCUUGUAACUCAUUGUCAAAAUUUGUUAGUUAUCUUUUAAAUCUUCUUCUAAAAACAAACUUUAUAUAUAUAUUAAGAAAGAAAAAAAUGAGUGCUAAGACAAAGUUAUUUCGAUAUAAAGUUUUCAUCUUUAAUCAUGAAAAU
rnacentral:lncRNA from 1 species